CUUGACUUUGGAAUCAGCGAAAGAGAUAUUAGCAAAAGUGGUAUGAUGAAACUGACACUCCAUAUGUGCUUUAUGGAGUUGUGUUUUCCUGAUUCUUCAUGGUCCAUGUAGAUGUGUUGAUGUCUGUGCAACUGAAGGAACAAUCACCUCUUCCAGUAUUUAUAGACUGCUUUUUGCAGGUCUGCAGGCCUGCCUCUGUGAGUACAGAUGGGUUUGUCUCCAGUGUGUGGGUACACCUGCCUGUGGACUGAGCUGAUCAGGGUUGAAGCUAGGUCACAGAGAUGCUUCAGGAGUUGAAGUUGGAACUGCAGUCAGCCAGCCUGUUACCCAAGAGACAAGCAGAAUACAUUAUCUUUUGUUUUAUGCUGAAGUAGAGUGCAGCAAGCAAAAAGCAGCAAAAGACACAUAAUCAAAGUACUUGGAAUGCUGACUGUAAAAUUAUGCUGAGAACUGGCUGCAUGAUAAGAUGCUUUUCCUUCCUCUUUGUUAUUUGUAUUAUUUUGUAAAGAUAGGCCAGUGUGAGUAUGUCCAAAUAAGCUAAUAAUCUAUUUCCCUUAAAAUUUCAGCAAAUAUUCAAGAGAAUAAAAAUGUAAGUUAUUGUCCACACAGCUAAUGUUAAUUUUUCAUUAACAUAAUUUAAGUCUCGGUGAUAGUUUGAAAAUGUUCAUAAUGUUCAUUAUCUAAUAAAAUAGAUAAUUGUGGAAUUAUCUAACUCGUAGAAGAUUAAUUGUGGAAGAGUUGUUUGUAUAUUUGUAACUGUCUCGUUUUUAGUAAAACCAAUUUUUUUUUCUGAGUUAAAAUAUUAAACAAUGAAAAAGUAAACUCAAUAAAUGUAAUUCAGUGCCUUGCAUAAUAGAAAAAUGUUAACAAGGUAAAAGCUGUUAAAAUUGGGAUGGUUUCAAAUUUUAAUGUGAAAAUUUCUGUGAUAAUUUAAUCUGCUAAUAUAAUGUUUAACUCUAGAUCUCUUUCUUGUGACAUGGCUCGAUGCAAUUUAGGUUGCUGUCAUUAAAAUUCUACAAGCACAUCAUACAGGCCUAUCUGCAGUGUACCCAUUUCUGCUCUACCUAUGUACAUACCUAAACCUGAAAACAGGGUUGGAGCUCACUUCUUAUGUUCAUCUCCUUGCCCUCCCAUGCUCAUUUGCAGCAUAGUCAGAUGAAGUAUAGUUAACAAACUUAUAGCAAAG
rnacentral:lncRNA from 1 species